rnacentral:lncRNA from 1 species
UUUGGGGAUGGGACUCAGAUUGUCAGGCUUGUAUGGCAAAGAUUUUUUUACCAGCUGAGCCAUCUUCCCGGUCCCAAAAUUGGAUUUUUAAGAUUAAAAAAAAAAAACAACUUAUUUUUCAGUGUUGGCAAAAUGGUAUGAAAAGAGGCACUGUCAUAUGCUGUUGGUGAGAGUGUAAAUUUUUAAAAUCUUUCUGGAAGGCAGUUUGGCCAUAUCUAUUGAAUGCCUUAGAAUUUUGCAUAAAACCUUUAAACCAGUGUUUUCACUUUAGGGGAUUCAUGCUAAGAAAAUAGUCAUAAAUGUUUGUAAAAUUUUAGCUACAAGAUUUUUAUGGAAGUUUUUUUGGUAGGAACAAGAACGGGAUAAGACAUAAAUAUUUAACAAGCAGGCUCUAUUCAGCCAUUAAAAAUGAUACUAGAGAAAUAUUUAAUGCCAUUGAAGGCAGGGAAGCUGGUUAAAAAACCAGGUUCAAUGAGGCUCUAUUUUGUAAAAAUACUUUUUUUUUUUACAUCAAAAACACUGGAUGAAAACAAACUGGAGCAUUAACAGUCAGUACUUUCCCAAAUAAUGGAAUUAUUUAUGACAUUUUUCAAACUUGGAAAUAACUUUACAUUUUUAUGUUUUAAAACUAUUUAGUACAGUAGUUGUAGAAAUUUGAAACU